UUACGACCCUAUCACCUUGAAACACCGCUUCUCUUACAAUCACCAAAGUUAAGCAACGUCGAGCCUGGUUAAUACCUAGAUGUGUGACCGCUUGAGAAUACCAGGUGUUGUA